CUCCGCCCACUCGCGUCUCCGCCCGGACCUGCGACGGUCCCGCCCCCUUGACGGGGCCGCGCGGGCGAGUUCCAUGCCUGUCCAGCGCUGAGAGCUGCCGGCCAACUUCGCGGUCUCCACGUCGCGCUUAACGUGGCAGCAGCACGCACUUCCAGCAUCUUUUUUUAGACAGCAUCUUUUUCAGCCUCGCUCUGUCGCCGAGGCUGGAGGGCAGUGGCGCGAUCUAGGCUCACUGCAGCCUUGACCUCCCGGGUUCAAGCGAUCCUCCUGCCUCAGCCUCCGGAGUAGCUGGGACCACAGGCGCGCGCCGCCACGCCCGGCUGGUUUGUUACUUUUAUUUUUGUCUCCCUAUUUUGCCCAGGCUAGUCUGGAACUCCUGGGCUCAAGCGAUCCGCCCACCUCGGUCUUCGAAAGUGCUGGGAUUCCAGGCGUGAGCCGCCGCGCCGGCCUUAACAGCGCAUUUUCACCAGCCCCGCCCCGGCCGCGCGCGGCACUGGAAACCCCAGCGCCUUCUGGACGGCGAGGGUGACGCACUGGCCCUCUUCCUCGGUGUCCUCAGGCCCCCACUGGUCGCGUCCGGCGCUGGAGGAGCCCAGUCAGCCGGCGCCUGCCGGGUUAGCACGUGGACUCCGAGGGGCCAACUAUCAGCUUUCCCUGACAAAAUGCCUUUGAGCUCCCCCACAGCUCUGAAACUCCAGCUUGGGAGCAGGGAGAGUGCAAUCUGUGACCUGUAAAGGGGCGCUGGGCAAAAGGGCCCGAGAGAAGGCGUCCUUUCCAUUCCCUUCCCAUCUCAAGCUGAGUUCAGAAAUGACACGAAAUAAUUUAAUCAACUAUCAGUCAAGGUCGGGCUCACGCCUGUAAUCCCAGCAGUUUGGGAGGCCGAGGUGGGCGGAUCACCUGAGGACAGGAGUUCGAGACCAGCCUGACCAACAUGACGAAGCCCCGUCUCUACUAAAAAUACAAAAAUUAGCCAGCGGUGGUGGUGCGCACCUGUAGUCUCAGCUACUUGGGAGGCUGAGGCCAGAGAAUCGCUUGAGCCCGCGAGGUCGAGGCUGCAGUGAGCCGAGAUCACACCACUGCACUCCAACCUGGAUGACAGAGGGAGACUCUGUCUCAAAAAAUAAUAAAUAAAUAAAUAAAUAAAUAAACUAUCGGUCAAGGUGAAAGCCUACUCUCCGCCAAGGUUCUUUACAACUUAGACGUUUUGGUUUACGGAACAGGGGAGGAAACUGAGGGCUCUUGUGUGUAGUGACUUUACUCGUGUGGAGGAGAACCCAGACUUUCCCUGCACACACUCUCCCGUUUUAUGGAUGAGAAAAGGGGGGCCCCAAAGGUCAAAUCGCCCCAAGGUCACUCAAAUGAAA
rnacentral:lncRNA from 10 species